AACUUUAUCUUUUGGUUUCCUUUUGCUGGUGAGUUUGGGCUUAGCUUCGGCGGCCCGAUCUCUUCUUUCUUACGAUAUUCCUCCUCAUCGAUCUGGAUACGAUAAUUAUGAUCAUCCUGUAGUUAACCCUAAAGUAGGAUACGAACAUGACCGUCGUGAUGGAUACUACCAUGACCGUGACCAUCAUGAUGCACCUUAUGGUGGUGGUGCUGGUGGAGGAUAUGGAGCUGGAGCUGGAGCUGGCUCAUCUCUUGGAGGCUCUGGAUAUGGAAGUGGAGGAGGUGGUGGUUCUGGAUAUGGAGGUGUAGGAAACCACGAGGUUGGUUAUGGUAGUGGUGGAGGGGGUGGAUAUGGAGCUGGAGUUGGCUCUGACCUUGGUGGUAGCGGAUACGGAAGCGGUGGUGGUGGAGGCAGUGGAGGAGGAUACGGUGAUUUAGGAGGACGUGGAAAAGGGUACGGUAGCGGUGGAGGUGGAGGAAGUGGAUAUGGAGGUAGAGGAGACCAUGGAGUUGGUUAUGGAAGUGGUGGAGGUGGAGGAUAUGGAAGUGGAGUAGGUGGUGGUGCAGGAGUGGUAGACCAUGGUGUAGGUUAUGGGAGUGGAGGAGGAGGUGGGGCUGGUAGUGGUUAUGGUGGUUCCAAAGGAUAUGGAGGUGGAAGCGGCGGCGGUGGGGGAGCCGGUUAUGGUGGUGGAGCACAUGGAAGUGGAUAUGGAAGUGGUGGUGGAGCUGGAAGUGGUGAAGAAGGAGGAUAUGAUGGUGGAUAUGCACCGUAAACAAAGAAAAGAAAAGAAAAAGCUCAAAGUUUUAUGGCUAAAAUGAGAAUGCUUACCCUAAUAUCAUCAAUGUGUGUGUGUGUUAGCAAAAAAAAAAAAUAAAAGAAUUUGGGUAAGAAAUGUUAUAUUAAUUAUCUUUGAGCUUUUAAGUAAUUUGAAUGUAAUAUAAUAUAUAUAUAAAAAAAGCUAAUCCAUGUGUUCCAAAGUGAACCAACAUGAAGUAUAUUUUCUCC
rnacentral:lncRNA from 1 species